rnacentral:rRNA from 1 species
UUAAGUUAUUAAGGGCGCACGGUGGAUGCCUUGGCACUAGAAGCCGAUGAAGGACGUUACUAACGACGAUAUGCUUUGGGGAGCUGUAAGUAAGCUUUGAUCCAGAGAUUUCCGAAUGGGGAAACCCAGCAUGAGCUAUGUCAUGUUAUCGAUAUGUGAAUACAUAGCAUAUCAGAAGGCACACCCGGAGAACUGAAACAUCUUAGUACCCGGAGGAAGAGAAAGAAAAUUCGAUUCCCUUAGUAGCGGCGAGCGAAACGGGAAGAGCCCAAACCAACAAGCUUGCUUGUUGGGGUUGUAGGACACUCUAUACGGAGUUACAAAGGACGACAUUAGACGAAUCAUCUGGAAAGAUGAAUCAAAGAAGGUAAUAAUCCUGUAGUCGAAAAUGUUGUCUCUCUUGAGUGGAUCCUGAGUACGACGGAGCACGUGAAAUUCCGUCGGAAUCUGGGAGGACCAUCUCCUAAGGCUAAAUACUCUCUAGUGACCGAUAGUGAACCAGUACCGUGAGGGAAAGGUGAAAAGCACCCCGGAAGGGGAGUGAAAUAGAACCUGAAACCGUGUGCUUACAAGUAGUCAGAGCCCGUUAAUGGGUGAUGGCGUGCCUUUUGUAGAAUGAACCGGCGAGUUACGAUUUGAUGCAAGGUUAAGCAGUAAAUGUGGAGCCGUAGCGAAAGCGAGUCUGAAUAGGGCGUUUAGUAUUUGGUCGUAGACCCGAAACCAGGUGAUCUACCCUUGGUCAGGUUGAAGUUCAGGUAACACUGAAUGGAGGACCGAACCGACUUACGUUGAAAAGUGAGCGGAUGAACUGAGGGUAGCGGAGAAAUUCCAAUCGAACCUGGAGAUAGCUGGUUCUCUCCGAAAUAGCUUUAGGGCUAGCCUCAAGUGAUGAUUAUUGGAGGUAGAGCACUGUUUGGACGAGGGGCCCCUCUCGGGUUACCGAAUUCAGACAAACUCCGAAUGCCAAUUAAUUUAACUUGGGAGUCAGAACAUGGGUGAUAAGGUCCGUGUUCGAAAGGGAAACAGCCCAGACCACCAGCUAAGGUCCCAAAAUAUAUGUUAAGUGGAAAAGGAUGUGGCGUUGCCCAGACAACUAGGAUGUUGGCUUAGAAGCAGCCAUCAUUUAAAGAGUGCGUAAUAGCUCACUAGUCGAGUGACACUGCGCCGAAAAUGUACCGGGGCUAAACAUAUUACCGAAGCUGUGGAUUGUCCUUUGGACAAUGGUAGGAGAGCGUUCUAAGGGCGUUGAAGCAUGAUCGUAAGGACAUGUGGAGCGCUUAGAAGUGAGAAUGCCGGUGUGAGUAGCGAAAGACGGGUGAGAAUCCCGUCCACCGAUUGACUAAGGUUUCCAGAGGAAGGCUCGUCCGCUCUGGGUUAGUCGGGUCCUAAGCUGAGGCCGACAGGCGUAGGCGAUGGAUAACAGGUUGAUAUUCCUGUACCACCUAUAAUCGUUUUAAUCGAUGGGGGGACGCAGUAGGAUAGGCGAAGCGUGCGAUUGGAUUGCACGUCUAAGCAGUAAGGCUGAGUAUUAGGCAAAUCCGGUACUCGUUAAGGCUGAGCUGUGAUGGGGAGAAGACAUUGUGUCUUCGAGUCGUUGAUUUCACACUGCCGAGAAAAGCCUCUAGAUAGAAAAUAGGUGCCCGUACCGCAAACCGACACAGGUAGUCAAGAUGAGAAUUCUAAGGUGAGCGAGCGAACUCUCGUUAAGGAACUCGGCAAAAUGACCCCGUAACUUCGGGAGAAGGGGUGCUCUUUAGGGUUAACGCCCAGAAGAGCCGCAGUGAAUAGGCCCAAGCGACUGUUUAUCAAAAACACAGGUCUCUGCUAAACCGUAAGGUGAUGUAUAGGGGCUGACGCCUGCCCGGUGCUGGAAGGUUAAGAGGAGUGGUUAGCUUCUGCGAAGCUACGAAUCGAAGCCCCAGUAAACGGCGGCCGUAACUAUAACGGUCCUAAGGUAGCGAAAUUCCUUGUCGGGUAAGUUCCGACCCGCACGAAAGGCGUAACGAUUUGGGCACUGUCUCAACGAGAGACUCGGUGAAAUCAUAGUACCUGUGAAGAUGCAGGUUACCCGCGACAGGACGGAAAGACCCCGUGGAGCUUUACUGUAGCCUGAUAUUGAAAUUCGGCACAGCUUGUACAGGAUAGGUAGGAGCCUUUGAAACGUGAGCGCUAGCUUACGUGGAGGCGCUGGUGGGAUACUACCCUAGCUGUGUUGGCUUUCUAACCCGCACCACUUAUCGUGGUGGGAGACAGUGUCAGGCGGGCAGUUUGACUGGGGCGGUCGCCUCCUAAAAGGUAACGGAGGCGCUCAAAGGUUCCCUCAGAAUGGUUGGAAAUCAUUCAUAGAGUGUAAAGGCAUAAGGGAGCUUGACUGCGAGACCUACAAGUCGAGCAGGGUCGAAAGACGGACUUAGUGAUCCGGUGGUUCCGCAUGGAAGGGCCAUCGCUCAACGGAUAAAAGCUACCCCGGGGAUAACAGGCUUAUCUCCCCCAAGAGUUCACAUCGACGGGGAGGUUUGGCACCUCGAUGUCGGCUCAUCGCAUCCUGGGGCUGUAGUCGGUCCCAAGGGUUGGGCUGUUCGCCCAUUAAAGCGGUACGCGAGCUGGGUUCAGAACGUCGUGAGACAGUUCGGUCCCUAUCCGUCGUGGGCGUAGGAAAUUUGAGAGGAGCUGUCCUUAGUACGAGAGGACCGGGAUGGACAUACCUCUGGUGUACCAGUUGUCGUGCCAACGGCAUAGCUGGGUAGCUAUGUGUGGACGGGAUAAGUGCUGAAAGCAUCUAAGCAUGAAGCCCCCCUCAAGAUGAGAUUUCCCAACUUCGGUUAUAAGAUCCCUCAAAGAUGAUGAGGUUAAUAGGUUCGAGGUGGAAGCAUGGUGACAUGUGGAGCUGACGAAUACUAAUCGAUCGAAGACUUAAUCAA